GCCGCCUUAGCUCAGGGGUAGAGCAACGCACUCGUAAUGCGUAGGUCAUCGGUUCAAAUCCGAUAGGCGGCUCCA
rnacentral:tRNA from 1 species